CGUCAUCAUCAUCAUCAUUACACAAUAAAGCGGAACAGGCGCUUCGGCGAUAUGAAGCAAAACUUCGCAGGAAAAGGGAGCCGGCUCGAAGCCUCUCAUGAACACCACCUGAUCGUCAAUGUGGCUGGAUGCAUAGAGGGAGAAAGUAAGAGAGUGGCAGACAUAGAGGAGAGAGAGAGCCAGAGGUGAGGAUAACACGCAGAGCGGCAGAGGAAGGGCUGUGACAACACUACUGAAAUCUAUGUCGGCCCCAGUAUGACUGAGCGAAGUGAUUGGCUGAAUGACGUGUCCAUCAAACAUAUUUUGUGUGUUGGUUGGAUGGUGCGUCCCUGGCCGAAUGCCAGACCUCCUGCGGGGAUUUUGCCGCUUUCUUAGGAAAGCAAUGUGCUGUCUGGGGUUUCCGGGGGACCGAGGCCUCAUUACAGUUGUGUGAAAGAAACUCUUUUGAAUCUUUUUUUCAUUUUGACAUCUGAAAGUCCCGUGCACAAAGCCAGAUCAAAGUUUGUGACACAUUUAGCCAGAGAGUGAUGUUUUUAACACUCGACUGAAGGUUUUGAAUUGAGUUUUGAAAGUUAAAUGAACACUCCUGCAAAGCAGUUGCAAAGAGGAGGUGUACAGAAAUAGUUCAGAAACAUGUCUGCAAACAAGGUGAAGACAAAAGUGGAGAGUGAAUAUGGAUAUAAAGAUUGCGCACAGUUGUGUUACAGACGUGAGUGAUUCCACAAGUCAGACAUCAUACAGUACGCAGAGUUUGUUAUGUGCAGUUACUUUUCUAAGUAUCACAACAAUAUAUGUCUAUGUAUAUAGAAAAGGAACUAAAACAUGCCUUUUGCCUUAGCAGUUGCCCUAACAACCACUCAUAACACCUUAGCAACACUUCAGAAAUCACCUAAAACAACUUUACACAGUCUUUGACAAACUACAACACUUCUUAAAGGGACGGUUCACCCAAAAAAUGUAAAUUCUGUCAUCAUUUAUGACUUCAUUUUCAACGUUUUGAGGGAACUGUCCCUGCAAGAACAUGUAAAAAGCUAGUUUUGAUGUGUUUAUAAGAGAACGAAGCAGAAAAUAAUAGAAAUAGGGAAAAACAAGGAUAAAAGACAAGAAAGUGAGGAGCAGCAGAGAAACCUGGAGUCCUAUUGAGGCAGCGGCGAAGGUGACGCCAAAAAAGAACAUUCUUUGGCCGGCCGAUGGUUGUUGUAAAAAGACACUCAAGAACACAAUGUUCAGCUCUCUGUGUGCCAAGAGGCACCGCAAUGAUAAACAAGAAUCACGUGUGUCCAGAAAAUGUCACUGUGAUCCCCUGAAAAAAGUGGACAAAACUAUUUCUCUGUUUAAACAAAAGCUGAAUCAAUUUCCUGUUUCACUCUAUUACUUUGUGACUGAUUCAUUCUGUUUUUACUUUAUGACACCCAUUACCCGGACGUGGACUGUUUCCUAGGCUGACCAGCACAAUUUUUCCUUAAUCUACAGUGUCAAUCAUCAUAGUCAGUUAAACCUAUAGUAUUGUCCCAGACUAAAAGCUUUCGUAACUGAAAGCAACUUGCAUUGAUAUAUCUUCAAAUAUGUCAGUGCCAUUGUUUUGUC